GAUGAACGCUGGCGGCGUGCCUAAUACAUGCAAGUCGAGCGAACAGACGAGGAGCUUGCUCCUCUGACGUUAGCGGCGGACGGGUGAGUAACACGUGGAUAACCUACCUAUAAGUCUGGGAUAACUUCGGGAAACCGGAGCUAAUACCGGAUAAUAUAUUGAACCGCAUGGUUCAAUAGUGAAAGACGGUUUUGCUGUCACUUAUAGAUGGAUCCGCGCCGCAUUAGCUAGUUGGUAAGGUAACGGCUUACCAAGGCAACGAUGCGUAGCCGACCUGAGAGGGUGAUCGGCCACACUGGAACUGAGACACGGUCCAGACUCCUACGGGAGGCAGCAGUAGGGAAUCUUCCGCAAUGGGCGAAAGCCUGACGGAGCAACGCCGCGUGAGUGAUGAAGGUCUUCGGAUCGUAAAACUCUGUUAUUAGGGAAGAACAAAUGUGUAAGUAACUAUGCACGUCUUGACGGUACCUAACCAGAAAGCCACGGCUAACUACGUG
rnacentral:rRNA from 1 species